rnacentral:rRNA from 1 species
AGGACGAACGCUGGCGGCGUGCUUAACACAUGCAAGUCGAACGGAAAGGCCCUUUCGGGGGUACUCGAGUGGCGAACGGGUGAGUAACACGUGGGUGAUCUGCCCUGCACUUUGGGAUAAGCCUGGGAAACUGGGUCUAAUACCGAAUACACCUUGCUGGCUGCAUGGCCUGGUGGGGAAAGCUUUUGCGGUGUGGGAUGGGCCCGCGGCCUAUCAGCUUGUUGGUGGGGUGAUGGCCUACCAAGGCGACGACGGGUAGCCGGCCUGAGAGGGUGUCCGGCCACACUGGGACUGAGAUACGGCCCAGACUCCUACGGGAGGCAGCAGUGGGGAAUAUUGCACAAUGGGCGCAAGCCUGAUGCAGCGACGCCGCGUGAGGGAUGACGGCCUUCGGGUUGUAAACCUCUUUCAGUAUCGACGAAGCGCAAGUGACGGUAGGUACAGAAGAAGCACCGGCCAACUACGUGCCAGCAGCCGC